CACCUUAGGUCUAGUCAGUUAGGCUUACAGAAAGCAGUCCACUGCUGGAGGUUUUUAGUGAGGUCAGGUUAAGGAGACCCAAGCCCACACUGGAGCAAGCUAGCACUACUCCAUCGACAAACAGGUCAAUUUUCCCCUACCGAAAAAAAAAAAAAAUGAUCAGAUACCAUUGUAGUCUUAACAGUAAACUAUGCUGACUAGGGAUCAGACAACCUCAAAUUUGAUGUGUUGUUCAGCACCUUACAAGAAAUCAAAGUCUUUGGGUUCUGGGGGGAGUAUGAUUGCAAGGCUGAAACUUAAAGGAAUUGAUGGAAGGGCACCACUAGGUGUGGAGCCUGUGGCUUAAUUUGACUCAACACAGAGAAACUCACCAGGUCCAGACAUGACUAGGAUUGACAGAUUGAUAGCUCUUUCAUGAUUUUAUGGGUGGUGGUGCAUGGCUAUUCUUAGUUGGUAGAGUGAUUUGUCUGGUUAAUUCCGAUAAUAAAUGAGACCUUAACCUGCUAAAUAGUCAGGCCAGCUUUUGCUGGUCACAGGCUUCUUAGAGGGACUGUCAGUGUCUAGCUGAUGGAAGUUUGAGGCAAUAACAGGUCUGUGAUGCCCUUAGAUGUUCUGGGCUGCAUGUGUGCUACACUGACAGAGCCAGUGAGUUUUUCACCUUGGCCAGAAGGUCUGGGUAAUCUUGUGAAACUCUGUCAUGCUGGGGAUAGAGCAUUGCUAUUAUUGCUCUUCAACAAGGAAUACCUAGUAAGCAUGAGUUAUCAGCUCGCAUUAAUUACAUUCCUACCCUUUGUACACACUGCCCGUCACUACUACUGAUUGAAUGGCUUAGUAAGGUCUCUGGAUUGGCUUUGGGGAGCUGGCAACAGCACUCUAUUGCUGAGAAGCUGAUCAAACUUGGUCAUUUAGAGGAAGUAAAAGUUGUAACAAGGUUUCUGUAGGUGAACCUGCAGAAGG
rnacentral:ncRNA from 1 species